GAGCGGGUUUGGUGCUGGUGUGAGGUGAUGGAGGUUCUAGUGAUGUAGUCCCAGUCCGUCUUACAGGACAGUUAGUCUGGGGGGCUCACCCCCAAUAGCCCCUCAAACAGUCCCAGACUAACAGGACAUUAAAGCCACGAUGGGCUUUGCCAGCUUUCCCGCAGUUGAAAAAGCAAUUGAGUGGAUUUCGCGUUUAAUGGAGUGAUUUUAGGAAGUAUUUUCAUGAAGAUGACAUUCCAAGAAUUCUCUACUUGAGAUGAAUAAUAGACUGAAUAUGGCAUGUGACGGCUCUGUAGAUGCUGGAGGUAUAACACGAACAAGUACAUUGUUCUGAAAAGCUGCCAUAAGGGCCCUGUUGCAGAUUUGGAAGCGUCCUGACUACGAGACAGGGAUGUCCAUUUUGGGCAAGACAUGGAGUAAAGCAGAGAGAAGAGAUGAGGAGAGAGCGAAAGGAAAGGAGCAGCAUAAAAAGCCUGAGAAACUAAAGGAAGCAGCUUCUAGUAUGGAUGGGUUCCUACUGUGCAAAUUGUCAGAGAUGGAGUGGGAGAGAAAACCUCCAAAGCUACAGGUAAGGAUAAAGAGAUGUUGCAUCACUUCUCCCAGCCCAGGCUUCUUUGCAGUUUCAGAGGACAUGCUUGAGUGGGUAGGAAUUGCUGCCAGUCUGCACACAGCCUGCUCUCCUCCUUGGCCUCUGAGCCAGGAGUGUUGGAGCAAUCUGCUGGAAGAUGGAAGUGAUGAAUGGCACAGUAAAUUCCAGCUGUGCACAGAGGUGGAGGCAGAUUUUGUUACUCAGGACCCUUUCUCCUGCCCUGGAGAUAGUGUUUAUAUGGGCAGGAUCCUUGGAAAAAGGUCUUGGCUUGCAUUUAGCUUCCAGGUACUUGGUGUGGCGUGCUUAUGGAGACCUCCAAGAUCCCAGGAGAGGUGGGAAAAGUGGGGUGUGGGCAUGGAGGUGUCAACAGCCAGGGACUGAUUUUCCACAGAGGAAUCCCUCUAGGGGUGCAGAGGUGCUCUGUGAUGUCACAUUCAGCACCCUUAGCUCAGG